rnacentral:rRNA from 1 species
GACAGAAGGAGCAAGUGUUAUUCGGAAUAAUUGGGCGUAAAGGGCGUGUAGGCGGUUGUUUGCAGUUGUUUGUGACAGCCCAAGGCUCACCCUUGGUUUUGCAGACAAAACGAGGCAACUAGAGUCUGAAAGAGGAGACCAGAAUUUCUAGUGGAGAGGUUAAAUUCUUAGAGAUUAGAAGGAAUACCAAAAGCGAAGGCAAGUCUCUGGUUCAUGACUGACGCUGAGGCGCGAAAGCGCGGGGAGCAAACGGG